rnacentral:pre_miRNA from 1 species
CAAGUACUAGUCUUAGCAGAUUGAGGAGAGCACCACAGUGGUCACCAUGCAGUCUGCCGAGGUUGGAGCUGC